rnacentral:rRNA from 1 species
ACUCCUACGGGAGGCAGCAGUAAGGAAUAUUGGUCAAUGGACGAAAGUCUGAACCAGCCAUGCCGCGUGGAGGAUGAAGGUCCUCUGGAUUGUAAACUUCUUUUAUAUGGGACGAAAAGGGCCUUCUAGGCCAACUGACGGUACCAUGUGAAUAAGCACCGGCUAACUCCGUGCCAGCAGCCGCGGUAAUACGGAGGGUGCAAGCGUUAUCCGGAUUCACUGGGUUUAAAGGGUGCGUAGGUGGGUUGGUAAGUCAGUGGUGAAAUCCCCGAGCUUAACUUGGGAACUGCCAUUGAUACUAUCAAUCUUGAAUACCGUGGAGGUCAGCGGAAAUAUGUCAUGUAGCGGUGAAAUGCUUAGAUAUGACAUAGAACACCCAAUUGCGAAGGCAGCUGGCUACACGAAUAUUGACACUGAGGCACGAAAGCGUGGGGAUCAAACAGGAUUAGAUACCCCUGGUAGCGACUGA